rnacentral:rRNA from 1 species
GACAGAGGGUGCAACCGUUGCUCGGAAUUACUGGGCGUAAAGCGCGUGUAGGUGGUCACGCAAGUCAGGUGUGAAAGCCCAGGGCUCAACCCUGGAAGUGCACAUGAUACUACGUGGCUGGAGUACUGAAGAGGAGAGCGGAAUUCCCGGUGUAGAGGUGAAAUUCGUAGAUAUCGGGAGGAACACCAGUGGCGAAGGCGGCUCUCUGGGCAGAUACUGACACUGAGACGCGAAAGCGUGGGUAGCAAACAGG